rnacentral:rRNA from 1 species
GACGGAGGGUGCAAGCGUUAUUCGGAAUCAUUGGGCGUAAAGAGCGUGUAGGCGGCCGGUUAAGUCAGGUGUGAAAGCCCGGGGCUCAACCCCGGAAGUGCACUUGAUACUGGUCGGCUUGAGUUCGGGAGAGGGAAGCCGAAUUCCUGGUGUAGAGGUGAAAUUCGUAGAUAUCAGGAGGAACACCGGUGGCGAAGGCGGCUUCCUGGACCGAAACUGACGCUGAGAAGCGAAAGCGUGGGGAGCAAACAGG